rnacentral:lncRNA from 1 species
UGGGGCAGGAAGUGCGACCGGGACAAAGGAACCGGCUGCGCGGGAGCGCGCCUGAGGGAGGCCGCGGGGGGCAGGGCCGGGACUGCGUUGAGACAGUCGCCGUGCCUCAGUUUCCUCCUCUGCGAAGGGCGGGAGGAGUCGGACGCGCCCUAGAGCCCCGCGCGUUCCUGGUGUAGCCUGCUGGGCCCGUGUUCUUUAAGUUCCUCUUCCUCGGAGCCGCGCGUUCGACCCUCGCUCCCGUUUGUCCACUGAUGUCCCGUUUCGAGCCCGGGAGAUCCUGCAUCUCGGAAGCCCCCUGAGUCCCGAGGCAAAUCGGGACCGUGAGCCCCCCUACCCUGCAGGGCUCCAUGGGGCCAAAAACCACGUGGUCCUUCUGGAAGGGAACUGGCUAAGCCAGGACUGCUUUUCUGGAGUGAUAAUGUGCUUGCCUGUGUCUAAGAGAAAGGUGAAGAAUUGGGAAACCCAUGGGUGUCACGAAGGGUGGUGAGACUGGGGAACGUUUUAGAAAACCUGGUGAGUUGCGUCCUGCUUUUGAUAGAUUUAUCUGGAGGUACCUUUAUGGGGAACAGGGAUGAGAAGGAAAAGUUUCUUCCUAAGGAGUACAGUUUCUGUUUCACCUCUUAAAAAAAAAAAAUUUGGAGAUUGGGGCUGGAAACAACGUUUGAAAGAGAAGGAAACAUUCAUUAUGAGAAUGGCUGAACGCAUGUCGAUUCGAUGAUUGAAGUCUGUACCAGCCAAAAUCAUACUGAAACCCAGUAAUUUAGUAUAUGCUACUGGCAAGCUGCUAUCCUGGUAGCAGAAAAUGCUGUGGGUUCCGCUUGGUGAGCUGCAGCACCCUGUUGGGAAAAGAGCUCAAAAAUUACCAGAUUUAUGAAAUAGAAGUGUUUCUCUUGCAGGAGAUUAGGGACUGGAAUGCCCAUUUGGCUGCUGCCAAUCAAUAUAAGAGAAAAUGAAGCGAUCACAUCUAAGAAAAUUUGCUCAUUACUUACCAGCAAAAUCAAAACUUGAUUAGCCAAUCUGAAGACCUCUAGGAAAUGAGCACUAUUUUUCCCACUUAAUGGAUGUUCAAGCUUAAGAGGCUAAAUGAUGUUCCUAUAUUAAUAUCUCAAUGGUCAAACUGCCAUUAGAACUCAACAUUCUUGAAUUUUAAAGGUAUCGGUUUUACCAUUGUUCAGAAUUCAUCAGAAUUGGCCCAGUCUCAGCACAGAAAACUGUAUAGUUCAAAAGCAUAAUUGGUCCGUGCCUGAUUUGCACUACAAUUUCCAGAAUUUUUUUCCCUGUACGUGACUGGUGGAGGCACUAGCUAGUCUUUGCUACAAGAACAUUAUGAGAUUUACAUAUGCACAACUCUAAACUAAAUUAGUUCCUCCAGGACAAUUUACUGAGCUUUUUAACACCACCGUCAAGCACUGUUGCAAGGACAGAUAAUAGGGGCUCAGAUAAUAUCUGAUAAAUGAAUAAAUGGGUCCUUUUGCUCUCCCAGGACUGGGCUAGAGCACUUGACUAAACUGAUGUGUGAGGUAGCAAUUUGUGUACAGAAGUCAUGAGUUUUGAGGAAAAAGAAAUUAAAGAAACAUGUUCUCUAAAAACUGCAGUCAUUGGUCAAGAAUACGAGUCUACUUGUGAUUUCAUACAAAUAAUGGGUGGACAGUGAGCUAUGAAAUUUAUGAAUACUCUAAGCAAAGGUUGGUCAGCAUACGUGCUAAACAGGAAAUCCUGAUAAGUAGGAAUAGUGCAAGCCACACUGCAACUUUUAUCAUAUUAGGUUGGUGCAAGGUCUACCAGAUGUGUCUUGCCUUCCCAUGUGUAAGGUCAACCAGAUAGCUCUCACCUUUCCAUGUCUAAGGUCAACCAGGGGGUGCUUGCCUUCCCGUGUCUAAGGUCGACCAGAUGGCUGUGUGCACCAACCUAAUAGAACAUCAUAAGUAUCUUGAGUUCAAGAUAAAUCCAUACCUUACCUACACUGUCUCCCAAUUAUUAUCAAUUGUCUUCUGCCAUCUCUUAAGUCAUUAUUAUGUCAAAUAAUUAAAGUCGGUGUUUCCUUUAGUUUUGUCACUGGUGAUACUACUACUUGCUCUUCAAAAUGUAUCUUUAUUCAUCUAACAUUUUGCAAAGUAAAGUUUCAAAGUUGUUCAGCAAGAAAGACAUUAUUGGAUGCCCAGGUUUGUAUUAGUUUGACUUAUAUUAUUAUUAAUUAGCACCCCUUUUAACUCUCAAAAGUAUGUCCUAGUAUAGAUGAUAAUUUAUAUGAUCACUCUAUAAAUAAGAGUGUCCAGAUAAUAAGGAAUAAGAAGAAUAAUUUUAGAAAUUCAAAGGGGAUUCAUAAGGAUAUAUUGCAAAUCAGGUUCCAGGUUUAUAGGUGAAGACUAAUUUCAACAUUGGUGAUAAUAAGGGGAAAAUGAGUUGCAGCGUGGGGGUGAGUAUGAAGAAUUAGGCAGUUGCUAUGUGAUGAAAAUGCCCUACUAGGAGAUUUUAUUAAGAAAAAAAUCUUAUUUUUUUUCUUAAUAACAGUACCCUGGCUGAUAAAUGGGACUUGGAUUUUAAAUACCAUUGGAUAAUAAAUGUAUGUGAUGGCUUUGGAGCAAAUUGAUUGACAAUGGCUAGGAGACAGCUUCCCAAGGCUGGAAAGAGGGGAGUGCGGAACAUGCCUCCACCAUACCACUGCCCACCUCCUGUGACCUCUGCAGCAAAACCUGAAGCCCCAAAGAGGCAGCUUCUCAAAGUAAAAGUGGAAUGAAGUUCCUGGUGACCUGAAUUCCCAUGGAGGAAAGAGGAAAAGGACAUUAUGCAAGGAGAUGGCAUCUCGUGUCCCUGGUGAACCAAAUUCCAUUAGGAAGACGGUGCAGUGUGAGGUGGACCUGGACCUGGAUAAAAUGGGUGUUUAACAAGUAUUUGUUGAGUAGGUGGUGGAGGAGGCACGACUAGAUGCAGGGUCUAGCUGAGUUGACAAGAGCUAACACCAGGUGUGGACCAGGACAGGGGGACCUUAAGCGAAGACACCCUGCCAGAUGUGUCUUGUUCCCUUGACUGUGGGGAGGCCCUUGGUGGUGGGGUGACGGUCCCCCAGUCUGAGGAUUUUCCCUGGAUGUAGCCUCUCAGUGCUAAAAUGGGACAGUCCCAGGCAAACCAGGUCAGUUGGUCACUCUACUCAGUGAGCCCCGUGCUGUGUUCAAAUUUUCCUCUUAACAGAUGUGGAUGGAUUUCGGAAACUUAGAAACCACCAUUUCUCUGUGCCUGGGAGGAGAGUUAAAUCUUCUCACCAGAAUCCUUUUAUGUGUGAGAGAAAUAAAUAUCUAUCCUUUUUAUAUCUCUUUUGUUUUGGAUUCUUUGUCACCAGCAGCCAAACCCAAUUCUUACAUAAACGUGAUACUAAUUAAAUUCAUUUGCAUAAACUCACCAGUUUUAUCCUUAAUUACUGUGAUAUACACUCAUGAAGUAUGUACCCUAAAAUACCACUGUAAGUUUUAUUUGAUUACAGCAUUAAACUUAAUUUACAGAAA